ACACUUUUAGCUUAAUGGUCAAAGUCUCAGUCUUCGAAAUUGAAUAUAUAGGUUCGAAUCCUAUAAAGUGUG
rnacentral:tRNA from 1 species